AUUGAACGCUGGCGGCAUGCCUUACACAUGCAAGUCGAACGGUAACAGGUCUUCGGAUGCUGACGAGUGGCGAACGGGUGAGUAAUACAUCGGAACGUGCCCGAUCGUGGGGGAUAACUACUCGAAAGAGUAGCUAAUACCGCAUACGAUCUACGGAUGAAAGCGGGGGAUCUUCGGACCUCGUGCGGACGGAGCGGCCGAUGGCAGAUUAGGUAGUUGGUGGGAUAAAAGCUUACCAAGCCGACGAUCUGUAGCUGGUCUGAGAGGACGACCAGCCACACUGGGACUGAGACACGGCCCAGACGCCUACGGGAGGCAGCAGUGGGGAAUUUUGGACAAUGGGCGAAAGCCUGAUCCAGCAAUGCCGCGUGCAGGAUGAAGGCCUUCGGGUUGUAAACUGCUUUUGUACGGAACGAAAAGACUCCUUCUAAUACAGGGGGUCCAUGACGGUACCGUAAGAAUAAGCACCGGCUAACUACGUGCCAGCAGCCGCAGUAACAC
rnacentral:rRNA from 1 species